AUAAAAUAAUAAAAUUAAGUUUUAGAGAAAAAUAAAACUUACAUCAAUUUUUUUUAAAACACUUUCAGAAACGUACCAUUCCAUUUUUUUCCCACACCAGUUCUCUCUCUAACCUUGCUCUUUUCAAACCCCUACUCUUCUCUCUAGAUUCCUCUUCAAUUGAGCCAUUGAAUCUCCAUUCCAUAAGCGCCUAGACAAUCUUGACGUCAAAGUCUUCGAGUUGCACCGAUCAAUUUCUAGGUUCCUCUGCGGGUGACUCUUGCUUUUAAUAGAGGAUUAAGAGAAAGGGGGCAAAUCCCUUUUGUAAUUUGCUACAAAUUGAAGAGGCAGAUGAUGUUCCAUUGGAGCAAGCUCUGGAAGGCGAGCAUACUGUACCUAGUUCUUAGGAUUCUUCUUUUCUCUUUACUUUAUUUUGAAAGACAUUUCUGUAAUAUGAGUUUGAACUUUAUAAUUCCUUGAAAUUAGCUUUAGUCGUCUAUUUAUUUUGAAAUACUUUGAAUUAGGUAU